rfam:Xylophilus sp. Leaf220 contig_1, whole genome shotgun sequence.
GGGGCUGCACUGGUUUCGACGUGGGUUCGGAAUCGUAGCGGUGCAUGUCGAGCUGAAUGCGCUCGUAAAACAGAUUCAAACAAACUAACUGCAAACGACGAACGUUUCGCACUCGCCGCUUAAACACCGGUGAGCCUUGCAACAGCAGGCCGAUGGGCUGGGCAAGGGGGUAGUGGAGCAAUCCGCUGCUUCCAGGCUGCAAGGUAAUCUACAUUGGCUGGUUCCAGGUCGGGUACCUUGGCAUGGAACGAGAAAAUAGGGUACUGGCGACCGUCUCAGCGUGCGACUGCGCGGUGACGGUAGCGAGAUUCAAAUCAGACCGCUAAACAUGUAGAUCUGUACGAAGAAGGCUUGCGGACGGGGGUUCAAAUCCCCCCAGCUCCACCA